rnacentral:tRNA from 1 species
GGCUCGGUAGCUUAGUUGGUAAAGCGCUCGUCUAGCAUACAAGAGUCCUGGGUUCGAAUCCCAGCCGAGCACA